GCCAUGGAAGGAUGACACUGUACAGGGCAAGAGUGAACCUGGCCUCCUGAGAAUACAGCAGCCAUGGCAACAGAGGCAGCUCUUGCCCACGACAGGUGGCAGUAACAGAGGAUCUCUUUCCCAUGAUUGGUAGCAGCAUCGGCGGCAGCAAGAGUGAUUGGUGGAGCAUGCUCCAGGCUGGACAAGACCUAGUGUGCAUAUCUUUGAGG